rnacentral:misc_RNA from 1 species
UCAAACUUGGUCAUUUAGAGGAAGUAAAAGUCGUAACAAGGUUUCCGUAGGUGAACCUGCGGAAGGAUCAUUAAUGAAUUAAAUGAUGAGGUUGUUGCUGGCCCCAAUGUGGGCAUGUGCACACCUUGUUAAUUCAUCCAUACACCUCUGUGCACUUUUCAUAGGUUGGUUCAUUAAAGGUUGCCUGUAUUGGUGGCUUGAGCCUUUCUAUGUAUUUUUUAUUAUAAACAUGCUCAGUUUAAGAAUGUCAUUUAUGUGCAUAAAAGCAUUUAAAUACAACUUUCAGCAACGGAUCUCUUGGCUCUCGCAUCGAUGAAGAACGCAGC